AUUGAACGCUGGCGGUAUGCCUAACACAUGCAAGUCGAACGAGCUCUUCGGAGCUAGUGGCGGACGGGUGAGUAACGCGUGAGAAUCUACCUCUUGGUUGGGGAUAACAGUUGGAAACGGCUGCUGAUACCCAAUGUGCCGUAAGGUGAAAGAUUUAUUGCCAGGAGAAGAGCUCGCGUCUGAUUAGCUAGUUGGUGAGGUAAGAGCUCACCAAGGCAUCGAUCAGUAGCUGGUCUGAGAGGAUGAGCAGCCACACUGGGACUGAGACACGGCCCAGACUCCUACGGGAGGCAGCAGUGGGGAAUUUUCCGCAAUGGGCGAAAGCCUGACGGAGCAAUACCGCGUGAGGGAGGAAGGCUCUUGGGUUGUAAACCUCUUUUCUCAGGGAAGAAGAUCUGACGGUACCUGAGGAAUAAGCAUCGGCUAACUCCGUGCCAGCCGCCGCCGUAAAAC
rnacentral:rRNA from 1 species